GAUGAACGUUGGCGGUGUGCCUAAUACAUGCAAGUCGAACGGAGACUGUAGCAAUACUGUCUUAGUGGCGAACGGGUGAGUAACGCGUUGGUGAUCUGCCUCGAAGUGUGGAAUAACCUCCCGAAAGGGAAGCUAAUACCGCAUAGUCUCUCAAGGUUUAGAAAAUUGAGAGUAAAGGAUUUUAUUCGCUUCGAGAGGAGCCUGCGUCCCAUCAGCUAGUUGGUAGGGUAACGGCCUACCAAGGCAAUGACGGGUAGGGACCUGAGAGGGUGGCCCCCCACAAUGGAACUGAAACACGGUCCAUACACCUACGGGUGGCAGCAGUAGGGAAUAUUAGUAAUGGGCGAAAGCCUGAACUAGCAACGCCGCGUGUGCGAAGAAGGCCUUCGGGUCGUAAAGCACUUUUUGAGAGGAUGAGGAAGGACGGUACUCUCAGAAUAAGUCUCGGCUAACUACGUGCCAGCAGCCGCGGUAAGAUCACGUGUA
rnacentral:rRNA from 1 species